AAGUUUAGAACUUAGUGGCGGACGGGUGAGUACGCGUGGGUAACCUGCCUCAUACAGGGGGAUAACAGUUAGAAAUGACUGCUAACACCGCAUAAUAUAGUGAAACCGCAUGAUUUUUGCUAUCAAAUAUUUUAUAGGGUAUGAGAUGGGCCCGCGUCUGAUUAGGCUAGUUGGUGGGGUAAAAGCCUACCAAGGCGACGAUCAGUAGCCGGCUUGAGAGAGUGACCGGCCACAUUGGACUGAGACACGGCCCAAACUCCUACGGGAGGCAGCAGUGGGGAAUAUUGGACAAUGGGGGAAACCCUGAUCCAGCCGACGCCGCGUGAGUGAAGAAGUAUUUCGGUAUGUAAAGCUCUAUCAGCAGGGAAGAUAAUGACAGUACCUGACUAAGAAGCCCCGGCUAACUACGUGCCAGCCGCCGC
rnacentral:rRNA from 1 species